GACUUCUUUGAGUAAAUCCAAAUUUGCUUGGAGCCAUUGUGGGUUAUUUUGUUCAUCAUAGUUCUUGUCUCACAAUGAAGGAAGUCUGAUUUUCACUGGGAAGAUCACCUCCGUCCUGAAGGAGAGGUUGAAGGGGGUCUCGUUGGUGGGUAUUCUUUGCAUGGCUCAGUAAACUCAGAGCCAUGAUGACGCUCAUCACCCAUGAUCCCUUGACAUGAUCUAACCUACAUUUCAAGCCC
rnacentral:lncRNA from 1 species